CUCCCAGAAGACAUAGUAGAGUUUGGGAUAAGGUGAGAAGCAUUACGUGGAAUAUGUACUUACAUUCUGCAGCAGCCAUCUGCUUAAAGGAGAACUGCACUAAAAUAGAAAACUGAUGCUGCUGUUGGUGCUCGGUAUAAAAGGAGAAGAGACAACUAACCAUAUAUCACUGAACGGUCGGCUAUUGAAUAAUAUACCAAAUAAAUUCCAGCCCACAAACUCUGCGGGUUCACUGCGGACACAGAAGAAGGGAGACAGGAGACUUUAUCUUCAUGCAUGAUGGUGCCACAUGUCACAAGGAUCAUGAAGUGACAAGUGUUCUUGAGGUUCAUGGCACUGAAAUGUUACCUUGGCCAGUCAAUAGUCUGGACAUAAAUUCAGUAGAAAAAUAUGGGCAUGUCUAAAGUCUAAAAUUAAAAAAAAGAUCCAUAUUAAACAAGCAGCAACUGGUGGAAGAACUUAUUUCAGCAUGGGCACACAAUGC